UUAAUAGGAUUUAAAAUCUAAAUUUUAAAUCAGUUAUCGGUAGUGCUCAUACCACUGUCCGUCGUUAUACUACUUCGUUAAGUAAUAAUAUUUGGUUUCUAGUUGGAUUAUCGAUCUUUGCAAGUGAUUGAUUUACCCAUAAUCCUCCUUUUGACGUCGACAUUUAGGAAAAGCAGACGCAUUUUUAGCCAUAGAUGUAUCUUCUAAAACCCGCCCACCCUCCCUUAUAUUAGUAGAAUGCAAUUCCUACGGAAGAUACUGCUGUUUGGUUUUGAUUGUUUAUUUCAGAAUUGUAUUGUCUACAUCUAUUAAACCAUCACUCAAUGUGGAAAGAUGUACAAAAGUUUUAAUGACGAGACGGUCAUUCAAGAAAAAAGACGAGGAGUGGACUUACAUGCAUAUAGAAAUUGAAUGGAUGACUGAGAAAG
rnacentral:lncRNA from 1 species